GUUUGGGCAAGACCAGGUGAACAAAACAACCUUUUAGAACCAGAGGUAUAGGAUAAACUCUGCAUUCUGGCUGUCACCUGCCCUUAUGGGGACUGUUCACAAGGAUUACAAGAAACCCUCAACAGCUGGUUAACCCCAGCAGGACCAGUGAGCUGAGAGGGGCACACAGAGUACCGGGGUCUGGCUGCCCAGCAGAACCAGCCUGGUCCUGCCUGUCACUGCUGACAGCUUUUAGGGAUGAGAAUGUUGUGUCUGACGCAUGUCAGCGAGCAGAGGAGAUUCACGAGCAGAGCCGGGCUCGUCUUGCUCCCCAGUGAGGAAUAAAAGCAUUGCCCGUCUCUCACUUCGGGAGGAGAAAGGGGGGGCUGCUGGGCGGCUGCGGGAAGUGAGAAGGCAUUGUCAGGUUCGGGUCAGGCUGGAGCAGCACGGAUUAGCCGGGUUGUCACUCGGCAGCCUGGAGGCAUCGCUGGGAAAGCCGGAGACAGAAAUGUGCGUGCAGGGGUGGGGGCCGAGGGCUGCCAUGGCUUGUUUAGGCGCAAGGCUGCUGUCCUCAAUUACGAUCUUUUGGGAAAGCAGACGGGAAAAUGGACUGAAUAAAGAGCCUUUAUCAAGGAAGCAGAGAAAAUGGCACCUUCUACACGCCCUGUAUUGGAACUCUAAAUAGUGUUAUUAGAGCUGUUAAAAACUUUGCUUAACAAGAGCUGUGUCCACAUUUAAUCCCAAUCUGGUACCUGCAAGGCUGAUCUUGCACCCAGGGAAGCUGCUGGGUCAGUGGAGCGUGGUUCUGCUGGGGAGUGAAGACUCUUUGUUCUGCUUAUUUCUUCAUUGUUGUAUCUGUUUUUGUGCUUUGAAGUCCACAGGUAUAUUUCAAUAUUUAGUGAAUUUUUAGUUUAUUCACUUCUGUAGUAAAGCAGGGAGGGGGAAAGGGCCAAAUUCAAAGUUGAGUCACUUGGGCCACAUACACAACUUGUGACCACAAAGUGUAAAGGUGUAAUUUCCAUUAAUUAAAGCAAAUUGUACUGAUCAAUCACUUUCAAAUUUCAGCCAGAUCUCACAUGUAACUGCAGAGUGCAGCUCACCUAAAACAGGACACAUGAGGUUAACAGAAUUGUUAUGUUUUAAAUUUUUUUUCUCAAUAGCAUUAGUCUUUUCCGUGUAUGACUGAAGAAUGAUGUUUUGUUCACUUCCAACCCAAUCAGUUUCACAGCACAACAGUAUCAAUUUCCAGUACAGUUAAAUUUAUUCCAGUAUGGUCCUGUGAAAUGGUCCGACAUGCUUUCAGCUAAACGACAAUUUGAUGGGAUGUGAAAACCACAGGAGUCAGGAAGAAGGUAAUAGUCUGUGAGCAGGCCUUAUCUGUCUUGCUACAAGGGCAGGGUUUCAAGGGGAACAAAGCAAAACACACUGAGGAACCUAAAGCAAGGAGGGCCUGGGCUGGGCUUCACAGGGGAGCAGAGGUUUCUGGUCUGGUUGCCAGUGACUCUGUUAGAUUAACGUUUGUCACUUUGCUACUUCGUACAAUGUGGAACGAACCAAAAAGAAUCCUUCACUAAAGGAGGAAAUUAUGUCUCUGAAUGGGAAGUGUCUGAAAAUUAUAAUAAUAAAAUCUACAUCCUCUGUUUUGUAAGGAAACAAUCUCAGGACUAAAGUUACCUCAGGCUGACAGAGCAGCCAGUAGGAGGAACUGGAAACAGGAGUUUGUGCUCAGGCUUAGGACUGCAGUGGGUGUCAUUGGGAUGUCACAUCAUGUCACUGCAGAGAUGUCUCAUGCACACCACUGAGUAGGUUUAUUCUCCAAGCACCCUUCUGGGCACUGUAUCACUUGUCUGUGUACAGGCUGUAGUUGCUUUUCACUUUAGUUCUUCCCAAAUGUACAGCAACACUUGUAUGGUGAUUGCAACCUUAGUGCUACUUACUCAGAAUCACCAGCAACUAUGAUCUAAUAAAAAAUCUUUAUUCUCUGUGAAAUGCAUUUUAAAUAAAUAGCAAUUUUUUGACUCUGAGCUCCUGGUAAAGUAUCUUAUAUUAAUGGAAUUAUAAAUAGCAAGUGCCAGUUCUGUGCUAGUUCUAGCAGCACAGAAAAGAACACAUUGUGAAGCAAAACAACAGGUUUUUGUCCCUCAAUUUUGUUGUUUGUAAAGUAAGUGCUUGUGAAAAAGAUAAUUCUGAUUUUAUAGCUCUUCAAUGUAAAUACAGCUGCCGUUUAAGCCUCUGCUGUUAUUUCAUCACACGCCCAGGAGAGCACCUGCAGGAAUACAUCCUUGGUGGCUGAUGUGGGGCUGACUUGUUUCCACCUCUGGCUCUGGUGACUGGGUAUCAGAUCCAGUAACAUUUCUGUGUGUGCAGUUCUGAAAGACCAUCCAUAGCUCUUCUGUAAAAUGAGUCUGUUAGCAAAGUUUACCUGAAAACAAAGGCAAGAUGGCUUCAGCUUUCUGAAAAAUUUUAGUCAACCAAGGAGUUGCUCUGCAGCCCCCUGUGCUCACCAGAAGCUUUGCAAAAGAACAAAUGAAAUUUUGGUUGAAGCAUCGAAGAUGUCUAAAUACACUUACAUCUUGUUCUCAUAUUUUGGUUCUGCUCUGACUUGCACAGAAACAGAGGUCUAACACUUUUAUGCAGAAUUAAAAUUGCUUAGACUUUUGCUGCAUUUUUGAAGUGAUUUAAUUUUGUUUUGAAGCAUUUUCUGGUGUGUGCAGAGUUUACUAACACUAUCCUGACCUUGGAGAUGUGGGAUAUUUUACAGUGUGCAGUGGCAUUUAUGUACCCCACCUGGUUCCAAUAAAUAGGUUAAUUUCCACAAAUUAAAGGCCAGGUUUCAAACAUUCCAAGGUGAUACAAUAAUUCUGUAUCAACCUUUAGGAUUCACAACUGGGGCAGAUGACUGGGCAGUCCUUUGUCAGCUGCAAAUCCACAACUUCGACACAAUUUUUUUCAUGUAAAAUGGUAGAAGUGUUUGGAAAAGAAAGUCAGGUUUCUAGUUUCACAAAACACCAAAACCCUGAAUACAUGGGACAAAUAAUGACUGACAGAUUUAUGAUAAAGAAAUUACUUAAAAUUUUAGACUGUACUCCUUGCACAUCCCAAAUUAGUGUCUUAUCAAAGUAUCUCCUGGAGCAAGGGUACCUUAAAUGACAGAAUGUACAAUACAAACCCCUUACUGUUAGUACAGAGUUAAUAGUCAGACAUUGGAAUAGGAUUCAGGAAUAUCCAACUGUAGAUGCUAGACAAAGAAUUUAUUUUGGUUUUCAAAAUCAAAUCAUGGCUCAUCUGGAUUUGGAUUUCACUUCAUACAAACAUCCACUAGGUAUUUGGUGCCAGCUUUGGUUCUUCAAUAUAACUCUUUAAAAGCCAGUGGUCUUGAAGUUCCCCUUUCAUGUGGCCUGAAUGAAUGUAAUUUAAUUGCUACUAAAUUACAUAUUAAUCAUUAUUUUACCUGUUUAUAUAAAUCAGACAAGAAUAAGAUCUUAUGGCCUUAAAAUAAACUGAAGAACCACACACCACGUGAUUAAAAUAAGCAAGAGAUACAAACCUGGCAAUGACAAGAAAGCACACUGAUUUAAAAUAUUGUUCUAACAAUUACCUUGGUUGUUCAAAGAACAGUGUGCACAGGUUAUGGUUAGUAGCUAAACUGCAAUUUAACUUAAGUUUCCAGAGGCUGAUUCCAAGUUAUUCUUUAUUCUGGUUUUUAAGUGAAGUGUCUGAAGUUACUUCUGCUAUGUGUUCUCAUUCUUGGGUAAUCUUUCCAAAGGAUAUGACUCACUUCUCCAUUAUUUGUAAAGAAUAUGGAAAAAAGUAAAAUAUUAUUAUUUUGUGGGCAUUUGGAAAUGGAUGUAAAAAAAAAAAAAAGGUGGGAUGUUGAUCAUUGUGAGUCAUUUCUUGGGAAGAAGGGAAGAACAAACACUAGCUGCUGUCUUACUGCUGUGAAAGCCAAGGACUUAGUGCUGACUCAAGCAGUAGAUAUUGAUGGCUGCAGAGCACAAAGGAGAUCUUGCAGCAGGGUUAAAGAGGGAAACUUUUCCUCUUUAUGUGAUAAGGAGUUAGAGGGAGCGCCCUGUGUUGAUUUCUUGGAAGGUCUUUUUUGUUUAAACAACCUUCUGGUUUAAACACCUUGGCCAGUUAGAAUUAUAUCGUGCAAACAGUUGCUGAGUCUCCUUCUGAAUUUCCAGAAAUCCUGGCAAAUCUUCAGAUACAUAAUGAAGUGCAAGACUGAAUUCCAUGGCACUGAGGGAGCUACCCCAGUAACUCACGGUGCAAUCCCCUGCUGGCUCUGAGCAUCUCUUCCUGGUGUCACAGGUCGAACCUGCAGGUGAUCUGGAAGCUGUAUCUUGGGCUUUGCAUCUUCUUUCUUUUCAUCUCCAAUCAACUAAAACCCAAACAUAAUUAAAAACUGGACUCUUCAUCUUUUGAAAUAUACUGUAAUAUGAGAUAUCCACAUGAUUCCCCUCAUCGUUGCAUCUGAACUUCCCAUUCUUUCCACAUCAAGCAGGGCUACUUAUUUCAGUGCUUUGGAAAUUACUGGAUUUUGUUUCAGAGGACAUGCAAACUACACUUAUAACUAUGUAGGGGCUGCAUCAGUCCUGUUCUUCAGCAAUGAAAUACUGUGAUUCCAAAUGUAA